rnacentral:rRNA from 1 species
UACGUAGGGUGCAAGCGUAAUCGGAAUUACUGGGCGUAAAGCGUGCGCAGGCGGUUUUGUAAGUCUGUCGUGAAAUCCCCGGGCUCAACCUGGGAAUUGCGAUGGAGACUGCAAGGCUAGAAUCUGGCAGAGGGGGGUAGAAUUCCACGUGUAGCAGUGAAAUGCGUAGAGAUGUGGAGGAACACCGAUGGCGAAGGCAGCCCCCUGGGUCAAAACUGACGCUCAUGCACGAA